UUUAAUACUCCGUUACUCUGUAUUAUACCCCGAAGUUCGUUAUCUCUUCCCACGAAAGAUGAUUUGCAUCCACACGGUCGUGCUCAUUUUAUUGCUUCGGCGGCUCAUCCUCUUCGGCUGGAUCUCUCGCAGAAUGAGGAGCCAUGUGGAAGUGUCGAUUCCCUUGGAUCGGUUCGCACUAGAUGCGCGAUGCGUUCCGGAUACGAAGCAUAGUAUAUUUUUCUACAAUAUGGAGAGAUGAGUUCCGCAGAAAUAAAGGAAUGGACAGAGAUUCGCAACUCGCAAUAAUCUUAACAUCUUAUUUGACGGCUACGAUUUGAAGGAGCAUUUCAUGGAGGCGAGGAGGCGGAGCAGUUUUUGAUACUGUCAAGAGCGGAGUGAAAGAACGUGAACAAGGCUGAUGAGGUGAAGUAAGCGUUGCUUUCAAAUAUUACUUCAUUUCUCGCUAUGCCUUGAACGUGCUCUCAUGUGUGGUGCUGAGAGAAUCCUAGCCUCAAGAUUAUCGUAGAUAGGGUUCCUUGCAAAGAAACAAGGAAUGCCUAAGAUCUCGAGUCGCUGAAGAGUUUCCUGCGGCGACCAUCUGAAUUGGAUAGCUACACGGAUCUCCAGCUUAGCAUCAUGUAUGAAGCUGGAACAUUCAGAAAGCUACAGUAAAAUCGUUGAGGAGGUAGACGCAUUAUAAAUUAGGAAGCGCAAACUCUCUUUAAGUACCUGAGCAGGUCAGCAUUUUCCUAGAAAUACUUACGUCUAAGUAGUAUACUACUAUGUGUACCGACGGACAUACCCCUUCGAUACAUCUACUUCUUUGUACAAGAGAGGAGAUAACAAUGUAAUGUUUAGAAAAUACAUGUAACGAAACGUAUAUUUCCUCACA